AUUGAACGCUGGCGGCAGGCCUAACACAUGCAAGUCGAGCGGAUGAAGGGAGCUUGCUCCUGGAUUCAUCGGCGGACGGGUGAGUAAUGCCUAUGAAUCUGCCUCUUAGUGGUGGAUAACGUCCAGUAACGGGCGCUGAUACCGCAUCCGUCCUGAGGCGGAAAGUGGGGGAUCUUCGGACCUCACGCUAUCAGAUGAGCCUAGGUCGGAUUAGCUAGUUGGUGGGGUAAAGGCUUACCAAGGCGACGAUCCGUAACUGGUCUGAGAGGAUGAUCAUUCACACUGGAACUGAGACACGGUCCAGACUCCUACGGGAGGCAGCAGUGGGGAAUAUUGGACAAUGGGCGAAAGCCUGAUCCAGCCAUGCCGCGUGUGUGAAGAAGGUCUUCGGAUUGUAAAGCACUUUAAGUUGGGAGGAAGGGAAGUAAGUUAAUACCUUGCUGUAUUGACGUUACCAACAGAAUAAGCACCGGCUAACUUCGUG
rnacentral:rRNA from 1 species